GAUGAAGAACGCAGCGAAAUGCGAUAAGUAAUGCGAAUUGCAGAUUUCAGUGAGUCAUCGAAUCUUUGAACGCACAUUGCGCCCGCCAGUAUUCUGGCGGGCAUGCCUGUUCGAGCGUCAUUUCAACCAUCAAGCCCCCGGGCUUGCGUUGGGGCCCUGCGGCUGCCGCAGGCCCCGAAAAGCAGUGGCGGGCUCGCUGUCACACCGAGCGCAGUAGCGAUUCUCGCUCCGGGCGUCGGCGGCGGGCACCGGACGUGAAACCCCCCCACAUCCACAAGGUUGACCUCGGAUCAGGUAGGAAUACCCGCUGAACUUAAGCAUAUCAAUAAGCGGAGGA
rnacentral:misc_RNA from 1 species